GUGUGAGCAGCAGGGUGAGCUGCGCGGGAGGGGAUUGGCGUGGAGGCAGCGGCAGCGCGCUGACACGGGGUGUCCGCUCGGAGGAUGGUCCCCGCGGUGGGGCUGCCGCUGCUCAGCCCGCCCAGCCCCCCUGCUCUCUUCUCCGAAACCAUGCCAGAGAUGACAGAGAAUGAGACACCUACUAAGAAGCAACAUCGGAAGAAAAACCGGGAGACACAUAAUGCAGUGGAGAGACAUCGAAAGAAGAAGAUUAAUGCUGGAAUAAACAGAAUCGGAGAACUCAUUCCCUGCUCUCCAGCACUGAAGCAGAGCAAGAACAUGAUCCUGGAUCAGGCCUUUAAGUAUAUAACAGAAAUGAAAAGACAGAAUGAUGAACUUCUGUUAAAUGGAGGGAACAAUGAGCAGGCUGAAGAGAUUAAAAAACUCCGGAAACAGCUGGAUGAACUGCAGAAGGAAAAUGGGAGAUACAUUGAACUACUGAAAGCAAAUGAUAUUUGCCUGUAUGAUGACCCUACAAUCCACUGGAAGGGAAAUCUCAAAAAUUCAAAGGUCUCAGUUGUUAUUCCUGGUGAUCAGGUUCAAAAGAACAUCAUUGUCUAUUCAAAUGGGAGUCAACCCAAUGGAAAUAACCAGGGAGCAUCCGUCCAGGGAAUAACAUUUAACGUUGGUCAUAAUUUACAAAAGCAAACAGCCAAUGUUGUGCCAGUCCAGAGAACUUGUAACCUAGUGACUCCUGUGACGAUUUCUGGUGUUUACCCCGCAGAAAACAAGCCCUGGUCACAAACUACCAUUUCGCCACUGGCCUCCACGCAGGCAGUUCCAGCAGGGAAUGUUCUUGAGCUUUCCACCUCUGAGAACGAGCGAGGUGUGCUUGCCGCUGCUACUGCCAGCUCACAGAGCGCGUCUCAAUCUGGAACAGAACAGGAACUGCGCUGUUUUUCAAGUAACGCGCCACAGAAUGAUCAAAACGUCCCCAAAAGUAAGAAUGAUGAGGAGGGCACUAAACUAACAAAGAAAACACUCCUGCAGGGAAUCAGCCUUCCUUCCAGUGCCUCCACAGAAGCCUCCCAAGUUCAACAGGUGAAUGCAACUUCCUCAAAUACACACAAUUCUAGGAUUGACCUUCAGGAAAGCUGUGUCAUUUCGAGCACAGACACAGCUUGUGUGCCAUCUGUGAGACUGUCUACUGCAGAUAGUUUUUCCUCUGUAAACGUUCUCAAAAGUACAGACUUAGGCAGUAGUGCUGGAAUGCCUGCGACUUCUGCAGCAGAAGGAGUUAAGGCUGCAACAGCAAUAAGCACUCUGCCUGCCAGUCCCCUAGAGAACUGCUGGUCUUUUUCAGGCUCUUCAGGUGUUGGCACUUCGGACUUGAAAAACAUGAGUAGCCUUACACGGAUGCCUUCAGCUGGAAACACACAGACCACGUGGACAACUUUGCAGCUAGCAGGAAAUACUGUUCAGCCACUAAGCCAAGCGCCCUCCAGUAUAAUGACUGCACUAUUAAACGAGCCAGUUAAUGGUGCUGGUACUGUAUCUUCUGCUCACAGCAGGCCUUUGACUACAAGUAUCAGUUUGAAUACUUCUCUGCCUGGGGAUGGUCAGGCAGCUGAACAGAUUGUAGUUACCUUGCCCUCGUGCCCACCCUUACCUAUGCAGCCAUUAAUCAGCCAGCCACAGGUUAAAACUCAGGCUGUAGGAAAUAUCCUUCCAUUAAAUUCAGCUAUGCAGGUGAUUCAGAUGGCUCAGCCAGUCGUGUCAGCUGUUACAGGAGCGCCAGCAAACCAGAAUGUCAUCAUUCUCCAGCCUCCAAACCCUGUGCCAUGUCCUCCAAUUGUGAGAGCAGAAGUUCCCAGCCAAAAUGUUAGCCAGCAAAUUGUAAUUAUACAAGCCGCUAACCAGAAUCCUCUACCACUCCUUUCUGCUCAGCCUUCUGCUUCCAUAAGAGUUCCUGUGAAUGGGCCAACUGCAAUUGCAAACUCUAGCAGCUCCAUACAAAAUGCCUCUCUUCCACAGACCUUUGGAGGGAAACAUCUUGUCCAUAUAUUACCAAGACCAUCCUCUUUGCCAUCUUCUAGCUCCACGCAAACAUUUUCGGUUACAAUGUCAAAUCAACAGCAUCCUCAAACGAUCUCAUUAAAUGGGCAGCUUUUUGCAUUGCAGCCUGUAAUGUCUUCAUCUGGAGCUUCAAAUCAAGCCCCUCUGCAAAUUAUUCAGCCCACCACCAGCGAGGACCCAAAUACCAAUGUUGCCCUCAAUACAUUUGGUGCUUUAGCUAACCUCAAUCAAAGCAUAUCACAAAUGGCUGGACAGAGCUGCUUACAUUUGUCUCUCAGCCACCCUACCAAUCCCACAACUGUCAAUAACCAGAUUGCUACAGUUAACUGUGUGUCGUUACCCACUUCUGUGGCAUCUUCAGUACCCACAGAGGCUUCAGUACUAACUAGUGCAUCUAAUUCAAUAAGUGCUUCCCCCAAAAAAGCGGCUGCUGGCUUGCCAUCCAGUGCAAAAUCAAAAAGGGCAAACAAAAAGCCAAGUACAAAGAAACACCAAGCAGUCAACAGUAAAGUGUCCUGUACAGCAGUUCCUUGCAAAGAUGCAGGGAAGGUGGACUGUGCUCCUGUGGAAGUGGUGGCAAAGCCAUCAGACAGCGAGGGGCUGCUUGAAAACUCUCCAGCAGUUUCGCAAGCUUUAGCAACAUCUCAGGCGAGUGGUGUAGCAGCAUCAAGUGGCAUCAGCGUUUCUGACUGUUGUUCCAAAGACAGUAUGAGCUCUGAACAGGCAGCCAAAACCUGCUCUGAUCCUGAGUCAAGCUCGGCCGGGGCACCCGCUUCCUCGCCACUGACAUUCAUGGUGUCAGAGCAGCUGGCCCUUACCCCACCAACUGCCAAAGAUGCUGCUUCUCACCAGCAGGCCCUUGGGUCUCAAAACCAUCUGCCAACCAGCUCUGCCUCAUCAGAGUCACCCAAACCCUGUGAAACCCUCAGCACCUUAACAUCCUCUCGUACCGAAGCACAUGUGACACAUUCUCAGGUUGCUGGGACGUCAGCAGCACAGAGCAGCACAGCGGGUCAUACUUCCAAGGCAGGAACGAUUUCAGAGUCCUGCAGUGUUGUGCAGGAUUCCUCAGUAGUAAUGCAAGACACAGACUUAUUAGAAAGACAGGGUCUAACCAAAAUGCUGUCUGAUCUCUCGAAAGAAAGAACAACUGCAGAAAAAAACUCUUCAUUUACUGUUCAGGGGGAGCAUUCUGAUUUUUCUAUGGAAAACUCUAAAUCAGCAGAAUCAAACGUUGAUUUGCCUGAGAAGCAGGAACUCUUGCUAAUGAACACAGAAGGUGACACGCUCUCCCAGCAUCACUCCUGCAUUUCUGAUCAGGAAGUAGCGGGUGCUUCCCUUAUUGCUAGCAGGCAGGCAGACUCCCCAAUGUCAACUAGCUCUGGUAGCAGUCGGGGCUUCUCAGUUGCAUCCAUGUUGCCAGAUACCACCAGGGAAGACGUUACUAGCAGCACGUCAACCAGUACGUGUAACAGCUGCACAUUUUCAGAACAGACUGACAUUGUAGCUCUUGCAGCAAGAGCGAUUUUUGACCAGGAAAACCUGGAGAAGGGUGGAGGGGGAGGAAUACAGGUUAACGUGAGGGAUGCUAUCUCUAAGUCAACAGAGGUUGCACCUUCAGAGAGAGAGCAACAGCCUUUUAAGCCUCAACCAGUUAAAGAAAACAAUGCAGGGCCAUUGGAAGCAGCACCAAACAAAUUCAGUGCUCAGGAUACAGUACAAGCAAAUGUUGAUAGACAGGUCGAAAAGCCAAGCUGCUCUGCAGGAGGUGUGGAAACAUCAAACACUGCUUUGCAGAUUUCCACUUCCCAGUCGCCAAGCAUAACCAGUUUAAGUGUAAAUAAUCUAAUACACCAGAGUCGAAUUGUCCAUCCCCUUGUGAGCUGCUCGAGUUUAUCCCAGUCUUCAGAGCCAGCAAGUGUCCCUGCAACCAUUGGCCUCUCCAUUCCCUCUAGCACAUAUGUCAAUCAGUCUCCAGGACCUGCUAUGAUGAGUGAGUAUGCUCAGGAACAACUUAAUGCUAUUAGGGCAAGCACUAUGCAGGCUCCCCAGCUGCAGGAAUCGCACUUAAAGCAGCAAAAUCAUGAAGGUCGCAAGGACUCUGCCAAGCGGGCUGUUCAAGAUGACCUUCUGCUUUCUACAGCAAAGAGGCAAAAGCAGUGCCAGACAACGCCCAUAAGGCUGGAAGGGAUGGCAUUGAUGAACCGAACACCAGAGAGCAUUGCUGAUCAAACACAGAUGCUGGUCAGUCAGAUUCCUCCUAAUUCAUCCAAUUCAGUGGCAUCAGUGAGCAAUCAAGGGCACACUGAUGGCCUUAACAGAUUAUUCCCAUCUAACAGCAACUUUGUGACACCAGCUUUGAGACAAACUGAAGUUCAGUGUGCUUCACAGCCAUCAAUUUCAGAGCAGCAAGGCCAGGCAGGGCAGCACUUGCCACCAAUUCAACAUGUUCCUGCUCAAGGCAUAUCUCAUCUUCACAGCAGUCAUCCAUACUUAAAGCAACAGCAGGCUGGCCAGUUAAGAGAAAGGCACCACUUGUAUCAGCUGCAGCACCAUGUCACUCACGGGGAAAACUCAGUCCACUCUCAACCCCAUGGUGUCCACCAACAGCGAACAAUACAGCAGGAGGUGCAGAUGCAAAAGAAACGAAAUCUCAUCCAGGGAACACAAGCCACACAACUUUCUCUACAGCAAAAACACCAUGGAAGUGAUCAAACACGGCAAAAAGGCAGUCAGCCUCAUCCUCACCACCAGCAAAUGCAGCAGCAGAUGCAGCAGCACUUUGGAGCUUCCCAGCCUGAAAAGAACUGUGAAAAUCCUGCAACAAGCAGAAACCAUCAUAACCACCCUCAGAGCCAUAUAAAUCAGGAUAUUAUGCAUCAACAGCAGCAAGAUGUUAGCAGCAGACAGCAAGGCUCAGCUUCUGAACAUGUGUCAGGGCACAAUCAGAUGCAGAGACUUAUGACCUCAAGGGGCUUAGAGCAGCAAAUGGUGUCGCAGGCAAGUAUUGUAACCAGACCAUCAGAUAUGACAUGCACCCCUCACAGGCAAGAAAGAAAUAGAGUUUCCAGCUACUCUGCAGAGGCGCUCAUUGGGAAGACGCCCUCUAAUUCAGAACAGAGGAUAGGAAUAACUCUUCAAGGCCCUAGGGUUUCUGACCAGCUUGAAAUGAGAAGCUACCUUGAUGUUUCUAGAAAUAAAGGAUUGGUCAUUCAUAAUAUGCAGGGACGCUUAUCUGUUGACCAUACAGUUGGAUCAGAUGUGCAGCGGCUUUCUGAUUGUCAAACAUUUAAGCCAUCUGGACCUAAUCAACAACCAACAGGCAAUUUUGAUGUACAGGCUUCAAGAAACAGUGAAAUUGGUAAUUCUGUGUCAUCCCUCAGGAGUAUGCAGUCACAAGCAUUUCGAAUUGGUCAAAAUACUGGGACAUCCAUAGAGAGACAGAAGAGAUUGCCCUACCAGCCAGUACAGGGUAUUCCAGCAGGAAAUACCCUGCCAUCAAGGGAAAAUGAAAACACAUGCCACCAAAGCUUUAUGCAGAGUUUACUUGCCCCUCACCUUGGAGAUCAAGUUAGUGGAAGCCAAAGAUCAAUCUCAGAACAUCAAAGGAACACACAAUGCGGUGCCUCCUCCACAAUUGAGUACAACUGUCCCCCAGCACGGGAGAGUGUCCAUAUCCGAAGAGAUGGUGAUGGCCAGAGUAGGGAGAGCUGUGACAUGUCUAUUGGUGCAAUUAACACAAGGAACAGUUCUUUGACUAUUCCUUUUUCGAGUUCUUCUUCCUCGGGAGAUAUUCAGGGCCGCAAUACAAGCCCUAACAUCUCUGUGCAGAAGUCCAAUCCCAUGAGGAUGACAGAGAGUCAUGGAACUAAGAGCCACAUGAAUACACCCGUUUCUAGCAACAUGCAUGGAGUUGUGAGGCCAACUCACCCUCACCCUGCCGUUUCUCAUGGAAAUGGCGAGCAAGGGCAACCGUCUGUUCGUCAGCCAAAUUCUUCAGUUACUCAGCGGUCGAGGCAUCCUCUGCAAGAUAAUGCAGGUUCUAAAAUACGCCAGCCAGAAAGGAAUCGAUCUGGAAAUCAAAGACAUGGGAACGUCUUUGACCCUAGUCUUCCGCAUCUUCCCCUGUCCACCAGUGGCAGUAUGAUCCUUGGGCGCCAGCAGUCUGCGAUAGAAAAAAGAGGAAGCAUUGUCCGAUUUAUGUCUGAUGGUCCUCAAGUGUCUAAUGAUAACGCAGCCCCUGACCAACAUACUCUCUCUCAGAAUUUUGGAUUCCCUUUUAUUCCAGAGGGUGGCAUGAAUCCACCGAUAAAUGCCAAUACCUCUUUCAUCCCACCAGUCACCCAGCCUAGUGCCACUCGAACACCAGCUCUAAUCCCGGUCGACCCUCAGAAUACGCUGCCGUCCUUCUAUCCUCCGUACUCUCCUGCCCACCCUACCCUUUCCAAUGACAUUUCUAUCCCUUACUUUCCCAAUCAAAUGUUUCCUAACCCAAGCACAGAGAAGCCGAGUAGUGGAAGUCUGAACAAUCGAUUUGGAUCCAUUUUGUCUCCUCCCAGGCCUGUUGGUUUUGCGCAGCCAAGUUUUCCUUUGCUUCCAGAUAUGCCGCCGAUGCACAUGACCAACACGUCGCACUUAUCCAAUUUUAACUUGACGUCUUUGUUUCCAGAAAUAGCCACAGCUCUUCCUCCAGAUGGUUCAGCAAUGUCGCCUUUGCUUUCCAUUGCAAACACAUCUGCUUCAGAUUCUUCCAAGCAGUCCUCAAACCGACCUGCCCACAAUAUAAGCCAUAUUCUAGGUCAUGACUGCAGCUCAGCUGUGUGAAAACUGCUAGACUGACUUCUUGUCUGAUGCGUUGUUUAUAUAUUUAAGAAGAAGAAAGUGGAUCUUACUGGCAUCCCUGAAGAGACCAUUCAUAGCUCACUGUUUAUUUGCCUAAAUGUAUGUAUAUGGGUACUUUUUGUAUUUAUAUACACACUGUAUUUCCAUCCACCUUACUAACUUUAAAGCACCAGUGCCUAUAGCAAUGCUUACUAGUAAACAGUAAGGAUGCAGUAUUGAGAGCUGUGCAAAUAUUGGUUGUUGAUUUUCCAACAAUCAAGUUUGAUGUCUGAUUGUUCCAGGGAAAGGGCCACACUCAGUAAUAUGUGGAUGUUAAAGAAAGGAAAGAGAGCAUCCAUAUGGCAGAUAGGAAACAAAUGCUACAGGUUUCAUUUUGUUUCUGAUGUGUUUACUUGAAACUACAGACAAACUUGAAGUGGCUUGGGCUUCUCUUUUUCUUUCGUAAAAUAUUUUCAGGAGCCUCAACACAAAGUCAAGUCUGUGUUAGCUCAGUGUUAAUUGAUAAAGAUAUUUGUUGUGCAGCUUUUGUCUGUUUGAAGCUUGUCACACACACUUGACUUAAGGUUGACUUUACCCAGCAAAAAUUACUAUGUGUUUCAUUGGUUAGCAAUUAAAAAUACUGGAUUAGAAAAUUCAGAUUUCUUUAACCCGUGACUAUCUGUUUAUGAGAAUAAUUUUGUUUGGAUCCGUUUUAACAAUGGCUUCACUUACUGCUGAACUUGGUCAAUGUUUUAAUGUAGCUUACAACUCCUUCUGGUAUAGUCAGCACAGACAGCACUCCUAUUUUUUGCCAUUUCAUUGUUCAUAUGCUGCAAGUUACCUCAGGGUGGGUUUUGUACCUUGUUUGGCACCUUCUUCAUGUCUUUUUCUCCCCUUUCCACUCUCCUUUUCUUUGGUCCAUGCUCAAACACCAGCUUUCUGGUUUCUGUGAGUGACAGCUAUUUGUUUGUACCAGGCAGCACAUGGGAGGAGGGCUGAGCCUGUGGCGUCCUGCAAAAUGAGUGGAGAUAGAUCCCUGUGGGCACAGUUUUUACUUAAUGUUGCUGACAGGAUCGGACCUGAGUUAGUAUCAGUACUCUGCACUUGAAUGCACCUUUUGUCCAAACCCGUAUGAUUGUGGCUGCAGGACCAUGAACGUGUCAAACCUGCAACACCGCACACCAUGAAGAUUUGCCAUUUGAGCACCAUGAGGAGGGGGGAUGCAUUUGUAUGUACGUGAGAGACGGAGUGAACAUGCGUGGGCUGGCUGAGUCUCCAGAGCUUUCACAAGUUUUGAUUCCAUUUCUUUUAAAGGAAAGGAAAGAACUAGGACUUUUUCUGAAACCUGCCGAGACCAGGAUGGAGAAGUAUCAUUUCAUUUCUCUCUUUGAACACGGCAAUUUCUGUUGACGUUCAACCACAUACCAGUGUGAGUCUUUUUACGUGCCGUAAGUGCUGCUAAGUGAUCCUGUGGAGUCGGUGUGGGAGCAGGAAGACCGCUAUGACAAGGAAGGUAGGCAGCCCUAUUUGCAAGAGCUUCGUAUAAACACAUUUCUCCAAAUUCUGGUAUUUACACUGCUGACUGGCUUUCAGAUCAAUUUAAUUACAAGAAACAUCAGCUCUGUUGUGCAGCCUUUUGGUCUAAUUCACUGUCCAAGAUGUUCUUUGAAUGCUGGGUCUGACCAGGUCCCCUGGUUUAAGAGGAAUUUGUGGGUUUGCCACAGAUUUCAGCUUCUCAUAUGUUCAUGCUCAAAUGCCUUUAGGAAGAACAAUGGAUAGGCUGGAUAUUUCACAUUAAAAGAGAGGAAAUUAAAUGUUAAGAGAUUUUUGUUGGUUUUCAAUUAUGAAGUUGUUUUAGGUUUCCUCUUCACUAUAAGCUAAUCACUUCCACGUUGGCCAGGCCACGGCACAGCUCCUCACGUUUAGGUUUGUAGGUGAGUUUGUGACGCUGACAGGUCAGGGUUUCAGCUUCUGACUGCAGGCCAGUUCCCAGACCUUUGGGCUCUGCUCCCGGGUAGAGGGUGUAUUGCAACAUCUGAACCUUUGAGUGGCAACAUUUCUUUCUCUUUUCUUUCCUUUCCCUUAUCAUUGAAGCUGGUGUGUUUAGGUCUCAGGUUGGUAAGACAUUAAGAAAGGCUCACCUUACCUUGAUAUAUGCUUUUCUUUUUUUUUCUUUGGUGGAGAGGGGUGGUGGUGGAAGGAAAAGUUGACAAAAGUUUCGCAGAUCAAAUAAUUGUUUUACUUGUUACAAUAACAAUUCAAGAAACAAAUACAUUUUCCUCAGCAAACAGCUAUGACACCAACAAUUUAUCAUUUUCUUCUAAGAAUUGCCUGGCAAUUACAGUUCCUCUGUUUUUCAAGAUGUAUUUAGAAAAUAUUCUGUGGUUUUAAUUGCAGUCUGUUAGCCUGACAAUGGCAUUUUCCCUUCCAUAGUACCCUUGCAAUGGUUACUUACACUAAAGUGGGGUUUUGUUUUAGUUUUGGAGAAAGGAAGAAUACCCAGUGCUGCCUAAUUCAGCAAAAUAAGCAGCAGAAGGAAAAGGUUCAGAACUACCUCAAGGGUGGGACCGCCAGAGCUGACACGUGGUGUGUGUCUGUGGCUUUCAGCUUGGCCUAAAUGACUUCAGCAAACAAUGGCAAAUGUUGUAGGGCUGUAUUGCACAAGUGCCAGUGUAGUCCUUGGUUAAUCCCUUAAGAAGCCCAGGAGAGCAAGAGCAGAGCCAGACUAAGUUGAAAGCAGGCAGUAAAGUAGUAACGUAUUAACAUUUGUAUACCUUUUCAUUGAGAGAAAGGACCUCAUUUAAGAACAGCUAUGGAAACUGAGAACUGAAGUGACUUGAGCCAGCGGCUGAACCUAACUGGAAUGUGUUUUCUAGCUCCUGCUCCAGUCACUACACUGCUGCCCAGGUGGAAGAGCACCUCUCUGAAAAAUUAAAAAA